rnacentral:rRNA from 1 species
CCUACGGGGGGCAGCAGUGGGGAAUAUUGGACAAUGGGGGCAACCCUGAUCCAGCCAUGCCGCGUGUGUGCAGAAGGCCCUCGGGUUGUAAAGCACUUUCAGUGAGGAAGAACGCCUGGUGGUUAAUACCCAUCAGGAAAGACAUCACUCACAGAAGAAGCACCGGCUAACUCCGUGCCAGCAGCCGCGGUAAUACGGAGGGUGCGAGCGUUAAUCGGAAUUACUGGGCGUAAAGCGCGCGUAGGUGGCUUGAUAAGCCGGUUGUGAAAGCCCCGGGCUCAACCUGGGAACGGCAUCCGGAACCGUCAAGCUAGAGUGCAGGAGAGGAAGGUAGAAUUCCCGGUGUAGCGGUGAAAUGCGUAGAGCUCGGGAGGAAUACCAGUGGCGAAGGCGGCCUUCUGGACUGACACUGACACUGAGGUGCGAAAGCGUGGGUAGCAAACAGGAUUAGAUACCCGUGUAGUC